AGCAGGGUGCCAGGGAAGGGUGCAGGGCCUCCUCCGUGCCCUCAGUGCUGUCCAAUCUGCCACUGUGAUCCGUGGCCAAGGGUUGCACCAGGACGUUUGAGAUUGAGCUGAGCUCAUCCCAUGGCACCUGGAGCCAGCUGCCCCCCAGAGCAAUGGCAGCGGUGUUGGCUCUGCUGGUGCUGGUGGCUUGGCCAGUUCCUGCCGCAGGACUCUCUGCUCAAUGUCUGCAUGGAUGCCAAGCACAAUAAAACAGAGCCUGGCCCUGAGGGGCAGCUCUACGGGCAGGUACGGUCCUCAUCCACUGCACCAGCACACGCUGGUGUCACUUGCUGUGGGGUCACUAGGAUGGAGGCUGGGGGGCUCUGUGUCCCAACAUGAAUUCUAUCACUCAGUGUCACCCACCCAUGGGAACUAACACUUUUCCUGGAGCCCUGGUGGGUCCUGAUGGGUCUUUGCUGAUCCCCAGCUGCUCUGGUGCAGUGUCUCCUCUGUAAGGACAAUGCCUGCUGCAUUGCAAGCACCGGUUUGGAAACCCAGCAGGAUCAGUCCUACCUGUAAAACUUCCAACUGGGCUCACUGUGGGGCCAUGCCGGACAAGUACAAGUGCCACUUCAUCCAGGACGUGUCUCUAUGAGUGCUCCCCUAACCUGGGGCCAUGGAUUGACCAGGUAGGUGCAGACUUCCCCUCACCCACCCACCAGGAUCCCUGGGGUGAACUGGGGGAAACUGGGGGCCCUGCAGGCAGACACCAGCUGGCAGAAGGAGCGGAUCCAGGAUGUGCCACUGUGCCAGGAGGACUGAGCAGUGGUGGGAGGAUUGCUGGGAUGCUGUAAGCUGUAAGGUCAAUUAGCACAAGAGCUGGAACUGGACUACAGGUGACUGGGGGUUGUGAGCACCUCCCAUCAUUCCUUGACCCUCCAGCCACUCUCUGUCACUGAUGGUGGAGACAGGAAAGUGACACAAACACAACAAGAUCAUGCAGCAACAGCCAACUUUGAUUGAAUUGCACCCUCUUCUACAGGGGCUUUGAAUUUCCCAUGCUUACAGAGAUGAUUGGACAAAGAUCUUAACUGCAUCCAGCUCACUGGCCAACAUGGAAAAAUGCCCCUGGAGGCCUCCAAUUAAAGACCAGCUUUUAUAUUACCUCCUUUAUUAAAAAUGUUUUUUAUGUGUGUUGUUCUAUUGCUAGAUUUUUAAGGCAUCAGUUCCUCCCCCUUCUGGUUCAACUCUCUUUGGGAGCCCCCCUUUUGCAAGUUGUUUAUGGGAAAGUGUCUUGGGAGGGUGGCUCGUCCUUGGUUCCCAAAAGAACCAAGAUUAGAAUAGGGACUUCGAAAUGUGUUUUGUCUUUCUGUCUGUCAAGGUAGGAAAAAUACUGGAGACAGAUAGGAACUAUAUAACUAUACAAUAAGAAUCUACAGAGCUACAGAGU